UCGUCAUAAUUUUUUUAAACU
rnacentral:piRNA from 1 species